rnacentral:siRNA from 1 species
UGUCAACUCUGUGUGGUGUCCAAG